rnacentral:sRNA from 1 species
GCCGGGCUUGGUGGCACAUGCCUGUAAUCCCAGUGGCUCUGGAGGCUGAGGCAGGAGGAUCAUGAGUUCAAAGCCAGCCUCAGCAAGGGCAAGGCACUAAGCAACUCAGUGAGACCCUAUCUCUA